rnacentral:lncRNA from 1 species
UUUUCAGCUCCAUUAUAAUCUUAUGGGACCACCAACAUAUAUGCAAUCUGUAUUGACCAAAAAGUCUUCAGACAGGUCAUAACUGUAUCAGUAACCUCUGGGGAACAUUUAAAAAUUUCCAAUGUCCUACCAUCAUCAGCCAAGCUUCUGAUUUAAUGAAUAUGAGAUGUGAUCUGAGCAUCAGAUUUUUUUCUUUUUAUUUCACCUAAUGUAAUUCAAAGAUGAUUGACACCACUGCAUUAGAGUUGUCUUCUCAACAAUGUGGAUUAAAGAGGCAAACAAACCGUAGCAUAAGUUUAAACCACAGAAAACAUCAAAACCUAGCCUGGCUUUGUUUAGUAUGUGUCAUAACUUGGAGAUUCAAAGGAUCUUUGCUUUUUAGCUUCCAAGUGAAAGGGUUUGUUUAUGGUGUCUACAAAGAGCUUCAUAUCAGACAGCACAACAGUUGUACAUUUCCAAACUGAUUUGGAGGAUGAUACAUUCAGAUUCUCAGAGGAAGCCUAUAAAACAAAUAUUCGUUGAGCAUCUAAUCCAGUCUAUGAGCCUUGCCUGAAGGAGAUGGGAAAAAAAUGACACGGCUUCAACCUCAGAGGGUCUACAGAAAAGGUGAGGGAAUAAAACUUAUUAAUAAAAGUAAAACUUAGGCAAUAGUUUCUGGAAUAUCUCUGUCAAGGA